rnacentral:rRNA from 1 species
GACGAACGCUGGCGGCGUGCUUAACACAUGCAAGUCGAGCGGUAAGGCCCUUCGGGGUACACGAGCGGCGAACGGGUGAGUAACACGUGGGUGACCUGCCUCUAGCUCUGGGAUAAGCCUGGGAAACUGGGUCUAAUACCGGAUAUGACUCCACGGCGCAUGUUGUGGGGUGGAAAGCCUUGUGUGGCUAGAGAUGGGCCCGCGGCCUAUCAGCUUGUUGGUGGGGUGAGUGGCCUACCAAGGCGACGACGGGUAGCCGGCCUGAGAGGGCGACCGGCCACACGUGGGACUGAGACACGGCCCAGACUCCGUACGGGAGGCAGCA